rnacentral:rRNA from 1 species
CCUAACACAUGCAAGUCGAGCGGUAGCACAGAGAGCUUGCUCUCGUGACGAGCGGCGGACGGGUGAGUAAUGUCUGGGAAACUGCCUGAUGGAGGGGGAUAACUACUGGAAAGUAGCUAAUACCGCAUAACGUCGCAAGACCAAAGUGGGGGACCUUCGGGCCUCAUGCCAUCAGAUGUGCCAGAUGGGAUUAGCUGGUAGGUGGGGUAACGGCUCACCUAGGCGACGAUCCCUAGCUGGUCUGAGAGGAUAAAGACCAGCCACACUGGAACUGAGACACGGUCCAGACUCCUACGGGAGGCAGCAGUGGGGAAUAUUGCACAAUGGGCGCAAGCCUGAUGCAGCCAUGCCGCGUGUGUGAAGAAGGCCUUCGGGUUGUAAAGCACUUUCAGCGGGGAGGAAGGCGGUGAGGUUAAUAACCUCAUCGAUUGACGUUACCCGCAGAAGAAGCACCGGCUAACUCCGUGCCAGCAGCCGCGGUAAUACGGAGGGUGCAAGCGUUAAUCGGAAUUACUGGGCGUAAAGCGCACGCAGGCGGUCUGUCAAGUCGGAUGUGAAAUCCCCGGGCUCAACCUGGGAACUGCAUUCGAAACUGGCAGGCUAGAGUCUUGUAGAGGGGGGUAGAAUUCCAGGUGUAGCGGUGAAAUGCGUAGAGAUCUGGAGGAAUACCGGUGGCGAAGGCGGCCCCCUGGACAUUGAACGCUGG